UGUUAAUAAAUUACUCAAUAAAUGACCGAGACACAGAAACGACGAACAGAGGAGAAAUAGUCCAUCAACACAUUACUAGUGUCACCACACUUGGUGGUAUUGUUAGAAUAUAUUGUAAAAGUCCCACAAAACCAUCUAAAUCAGAUGAGAUUAUUAGAUCUGUCGCUAAAAAGACCUAAAAGAAAAUUAUCAAAAUAUUAUCAAGCAACAACUUAUGAUGACAACAUGAUCAUAAAUAAUAAUAACAAAUUGAUCAUAAGCUGCUAUGAAUCGAAGCUGCUAUAACGGCAAUUUGAGCUACCGAGAAGUAAUAUAAUUUUUUUUUAUAGUGAAGUGUUGUGGGCAAAGGAGCAAGUGGUUUUCGUGAUGCUAAGCAAACACCGUAUCCCAUGAACACCAGCAACAGCAACCCGAUACGGGUCAAUGAUGCGUUGUCGAUUUUGAAAUGCCGAUAGCCGCGGCCCUUAUUUUGAAGGCCACAAUGUCGAAACUAUUAGGGAACUCCGCUGAGGAAAGUCGAUUCCAUAGUUUAGUACAGCGCUGGAAAAAGUAACGUGAAAAACAGUCUGUAGUUGAGCGCCAUGAGAUAGGGACCCUAUGGGCCCCUAUGGGCCCCCUUUACAGCUGGAGAGGUCCGAGCUGGAGAGAACAUAUUUGACCGUUGUUACGUUGUUACGUCGGAUUCGAACAGAGGAUCUCGACCACAACGCAUUAAGAGUACAUCUAUCUACACACGCUUCAGAAAUUUCACAAAAUAAAAUUGUACAGCACACGUAUUUUCAUUUUUAGUUAUAUGCAAUGAAAUGAUGAAAUGUUAAAUUACAUAAAAAUCGACUUAAAAAUAUAUUCUUAGCUGGUUGGUGAAAGAAACGUUAACUUCAGUUCAAUAAUGCUCAUAGUAAUCGAAAUUUUUAUAGCAUGCAAUACGGUCUCAAGGAGAGCGUUGCAAGACUUGUGGGAUUAAUAGUUGUGGUGAUAUUGUCACGAAUCUUUGUGUUUUUGUCAGUGGGAUUUUUUUUUCGAUGAAGUCAUUCCAUUGUGACAAAUAUGUAAUUAAAAAAUGUAAUAUAAACUAAAUAUGUUUAGCUGUCCGCAUAUAUAUCACAAUAUAUACGGCUCUCCGUGAUUUUAUUUUGUGAUACGAGAUUGGUUUAUGUCACCAUAGAUGACAAAUCUGAUAUAACUCUUUGUUCACAAAACAAAUAUACAUGGUAAAAAAUAAUAAUAAAAGUUGAAAUGAAGAAAGUAAUUACAAAAAUAAAAAUAUUUAUAUGCAUUUUAGCAUUAUCACUCUUUAUACUUUUGUAUAACGUAUACUACGAAUUUCUGAUAAUAAAUGACAUGUCGAACUGGAAUUCACGAACAUUCAACAUAAAUAGAUUUUUCCAAAAGAGAACAUUAUUCCGACCCGGUGCACCCGCGAAAAAGAAGCUUCCGGAUAUAAAAUAUGUGUUGAUGUGGACAAAUCCAAAUAAUGAACCUCUUGUAGAAUUAGAAAAUGGUCAUACACGUUUCAUAAAAAGUCUUUGCCCUUAUAUAAACUGCUAUGUGACCUCAGAUAGGUACUUCUUAGAAGAUUAUACGCAAUUCGAUGUUGUUCUCUUUGCGGGAUCUGAUCUUAUUGGAGAUGAUCUAGAUUUGCCGGAUCGUCGAUCCGAUGUUCAGAAAUAUGUAUUUGCAAGCGUUGAAUCUUCCGAAAAUUAUCCCUUGUGUUCUAAAAGAUUUAACAACUACUUUAAUUGGACAUGGACGUUUAGACUGGACUCUGAAAGCAGGUGGGGAUAUAUAACAAUACGGAAUAAGAAGAAUAAGGCAAUAAUAGGACCAAAGAAAGUGAUGCAUUGGAUGAAAUUAAAUAAAAUGACCCCAGUUAGUAAGAAGUUUAAAAAAGAUUUAUCGUCGAAAACGAAGGCAGCUGCUUGGUUUCCAUCUCAAUGUCACACGAAAGCUCGCGGAGAAAAUUUCGUAAGUCAAUUAAAACGCGAGCUAAAAGCAUACAAAUUAUCAAUUGAUACUUACGGCCAUUGUGGAAAUCUGAAAUGCCUUAAUGAAGAGUGUGAAAAAAUAAUAAAAAAAGACUACUAUUUCUACCUUGCAUUUGAAAAUUCCUUUGAUACCGAUUAUGUUACUGAAAAUUUGCUGCUUGGACUACGAAAUAAUGCUGUACCAAUUGUUUUUGGUGGAGCUAAUUAUACAAGCUUCAUGCCAGAUGGGAUCUACUUGAAUGCAAGAAAAUUAGGUGCCAAAAAGCUUGCAAGAAAAAUGAACGAAUUGAUAAAGAGUCCAAAUAAAUACGCUGAAUACUUUAAAUGGACAAAUCACUACAUAUACAAAAUGAAUAACGAAAGCAUUAUAACUGAUAACUAUUGUAACAUGUGUAAGCUAAUUAACAAUAAAAAAAAGAUGAAGGCUAAAUCGGUAUAUAAAAACUUCCGAGACUGGUGGAAUCAGCCAAAUGCUUGUCGAUCUUAUGAUAAACAGAUCAGCAAUAAAUUGAGACUGUCAAAUAAACCAAAGUCUAUUAGUUUUUAAACAUAAUAGUUACGUAUAAUAAGCAACAACUCUGCAAAGAGGGUUGAUAAACAUUACAUGGUUGAAUUUACGCAAGCCCCGGGAAUUCGGGGCGUCACAGCUGCGAAUGUAAUCGGGAAUACGCGAGGACGAGAGAGAGUACACUAAAUAAGCAUACAUGCUAAUAGGAGCCAAGAAUUGGGACUACUUCACUGCUCGCUGAUAAAGUAUCUGAUAGCCUGUAGGUACGUACAACAACACUCAAGAUGUUGGGGGUGGAAUUUCUUCAUAUUUUGUUUCAAGUGUCGGAAUCUCGGGCUUCAUGAGAUGGACUCUUUACAUAGCUGGAGAAGUC